AUAUAUAUAUAUAUAUAUAUCUCCCAAAAGGUAUAGCUACCUCAUAUAUGAAAUAAGUUAAAUAAUACAUUGUUCAAAAUAAAAAUACAAUGUUUUUAACCACUGCCAAAUUAAAGUACAAUUAAUGAUUAACUACACAUAUUGGAUGUUAAAUGUUUAAAAGCAAUUACAGAAAUGAUACGAGCAGUGAGGUUAGUUCUCAGAAAAUUUCUACAGCUGUCUGCAGAUGAUAUUUGGCUUGAUAUUUCAUCAACCUUUUUUCUGUUUUGAUUGUUCCUGGGGCCACUGUAUGCAUUUACCUUUUUAAUUAUAAUUUUUUUUGUUGUUAAUUUUAAUUACUGUUAAGAUCAAAAUGCACAAUUAAAUGCACAAAAAUGCCCCCCAAAACAACUGAAUUUCGGUCUGCUAUACCUGCUGCUCAGCAGAGGCCUCUGGGUAACAGCUGGGAGGCCGCUAUGGCUUUCAUGGUCUCAAACUGAAAAGGGGCCCCCAAAAACAGUGUACCAUUGCCCAUUAUUAGUUGCUAGUUGUUGAGGUUUGGGUAAUGAGAUAAAACAUCGUGUACUAGCUACGCACAACUAGAAUUUGGAGAAGGUACCAAACUGACGGUUCUGGGUAAGUCCGAUUUUUUUAAGUUCAGAAAUUGUAGUAGUAGAUAUGAUGACUUGUUUGAUUUGUGAAAUGUAAUAAAAUGGGUCAUAUUAUAUGGGUAAUUGAAAAAUGGAUUGAAUACAGAAAAUAAGAAGUGCAUGGGCCAUAACAAAUUAUUUAUCUAAUGUAAAAUGUUCAUUUAUUAGUUAAUAAAUUAAUGUUUAUUUAUUCUAUAAAAUGUUUUUUAUUAAUCAUGUGUUAAUCCAAAAUCUAUUUUCAAUGAGAAAAUAAGGUAACAUUUCAGAAGAAACAACUUAAGUCCACAAGUAUGUCCUUAAAAGUAAAAAUAGAAAUAUUUAAAAUAAGUUACAGGUGUACGACUACAGAAUAACAACUAUUUGGAACUGUACACAAACCAAAGCAUCUAAACAUUUAAAUGUAUGUUUAAACAAAGCAGCUUUAUAAGUUGUUCUGCACAUUUCUUUCGAUGGAUACAGUAUUCAUCCACAUACAGUACUGACAUAAAAUAUCCUUUUAAUUCAAAACGCGUGAAAGUAACAAUUCAUGAAAGUGUUGCCGUGGACAGUUUUGCAAUCAUUUCAAAUAAAUGAAUAAAUAAAUAAAUUCAUCAGCCUUUGCUGUGACUGACCAAUUGAAAUAAAGCAUUUAAUUAACGCGUGUUAUAAUUACAUAGUAAUUGAUGCAAAUUAAUCUUCCUAAUUUUCUGCUUUCAAUCUUUCUUUCUGAAGCUGCAAACAUCACUCUACCUAAAGUCAAGAUCCUACCACCGUCUCCAAAAGAGAUCUGUUCCCAGGACAAGUCAAAUGAUAAAGGUUUAACUUUAGUGUGUGUGGCCUCAGGCUUUUAUCCCGAUCAUGUGAGUAUGUUCUGGAAAGUGAAUGGCAUAGAGAGACAGGACAGUGUAUCUACUGACACCUCAGCCCGACAGGACAAGACAACAUUGAUGUACCACAUCAGCAGCAGAAUAAAAGUCAAUGAAACUGACUGGAUGGAUCCCAAGAGUAACUUCACCUGUACCAUCAAAUUCUUCAACGGAAAGGAAGAUGUCAAUGUCACAACCACCAUAACCGGUCAAAAAGUGAAGCCGAAAGGAUUGAAACUGCUUGGCUUUGGCUACAUCCUAUUCCUCUGCAAAAGUCUGCUGUAUGCGCUGGCUGUGGCUGGUGUGGUGUGCAAACUAAAGCGAAUUAAGAAGAAACAAUUACCAGAAGACUGAGAUACGUUGACAAUUUGUCACAGGCCAGAAGUGACUCUCUUUAUUAUUUACAAGCUGUGUAAAAUAUCUGUGUAUUGCCAACAAUUUACUAGAUUCAUGUGUCUUAUAUUUGUGUAUGCGACAUCAAAUCACACAUAUUAUAAUUGUUUUCAAAGCUUUAAAAGGGGUUAGUGAAUUGACUUACAAUAAAAUGCUAAUUAAGUAGAAUGAUAUAAACAGUUUCGGGUUCUAUUUUUGUGCUAUGACUAAAACAUUCUACAUUUACGUAAUUUGAAGGCUUUGUUUUAUGAGAAACAGGAUAUUUGCAUGUUUUUUUUUUUUUUUCAGUGGAAAAUCAGCACCUUUGGAAAGUGUGGGUUGUUAUCUCAGUUAUGUAAGAAUCUUCCACUGCAAUAAGAAACAUAAGACUUUUCAUGUAUACUGAGACAUCUACAUUUCUCAUAAUGAGUUUUGAAGCUUUUCUACAAUUCCUGGAACAAGCCAUCUACAAAGUAGUACUGCAACUGAACAAUGUGACUGAACCUGAAAAUAACAGCACUGUCUUGAUUUUGUUAAUGCAUUUACAUUUUUUUAAUAAAUAAAUAAAUAAUAACGUGUUUGUUUUCUGCUUGAAAAUGUGAAGCGUUAUGCUACUUUGAAUGGUGUAUGGAUGAUUUUAAGUGCUGUACUGCUGCAGGUUGCUGUAGAUGAAAGCAGGAUGUGGUGUCAGAUCUUUGCAAGCAAUGUGGAGGUGUUGGGGAGGAUGUGGUCAGAACGUUCUCGAGAUGUUCGAGCUCCAUCCUGCAUCUUUCACACACCUGCUGCUGCACACAAGCCUCAAAGCUCACACACAUCUUCAGACGAAGCCAAUAAGAGCCAAGAGAGCUGUUGAAAACUGGUGCAGAAACGGGUGAUUCAUUCGAGACGCAUGUUUGCAGGUUAUUCUGUCAACAGUCUGCACCACACCCCCCCACAUCUGUACUGUUUUUCUGGAACGUUGAACGCAUUCAUCAUGAAUCAGUUGCUCAGUCUGAGUAAUCUAACACAUUAAAAUGUCAUUAGCUCUUCCAGUAAAUGAUGUAAAGCAAUGUCUAAUUUUAAAAUCUAAUUCUGUUAUUAUCUUGUUUGAUAAUAAGGAAAAGCUCCUGUUAAUCCUCAUGAAAUAUGUCAAAAAAAAAUA